rnacentral:rRNA from 1 species
UUGAACGCUGGCGGCAGGCCUAACACAUGCAAGUCGAACGGUAACAGGAAGCAGCUUGCUGCUUUGCUGACGAGUGGCGGACGGGUGAGUAAUGUCUGGGAAACUGCCCGAUGGAGGGGGAUAACUACUGGAAACGGUAGCUAAUACCGCAUAACGUCGCAAGACCAAAGAGGGGGACCUUAGGGCCUCUUGCCAUCGGAUGUGCCCAGAUGGGAUUAGCUAGUAGGUGGGGUAACGGCUCACCUAGGCGACGAUCCCUAGCUGGUCUGAGAGGAUGACCAGCCACACUGGAACUGAGACACGGUCCAGACUCCUACGGGAGGCAGCAGUGGGGAAUAUUGCACAAUGGGCGCAAGCCUGAUGCAGCCAUGCCGCGUGUAUGAAGAAGGCCUUCGGGUUGUAAAGUACUUUCAGCGGGGAGGAAGGGAGUAAAGUUAAUACCUUUGCUCAUUGACGUUACCCGCAGAAGAAGCACCGGCUAACUCCGUACCAGCAGCCGCGGUAAUACGGAGGGUGCAAGCGUUAAUCGGAAUUACUGGGCGUAAAGCGCACGCAGGCGGUUUGUUAAGUCAGAUGUGAAAUCCCCGGGCUCAACCUGGGAACUGCAUCUGAUACUGGCAAGCUUGAGUCUCGUAGAGGGGGGUAGAAUUCCAGGUGUAGCGGUGAAAUGCGUAGAGAUCUGGAGGAAUACCGGUGGCGAAGGCGGCCCCCUGGACGAAGACUGACGCUCAGGUGCGAAAGCGUGGGGAGCAAACAGGAUUAGAUACCCUGGUAGUCCACGCCGUAAACGAUGUCGACUUGGAGGUUGUGCCCUUGAGGCGUGGCUUCCGGAGCUAACGCGUUAAGUCGACCGCCUGGGGAGUACGGCCGCAAGGUUAAAACUCAAAUGAAUUGACGGGGGCCCGCACAAGCGGUGGAGCAUGUGGUUUAAUUCGAUGCAACGCGAAGAACCUUACCUGGUCUUGACAUCCACGGAAGUUUUCAGAGAUGAGAAUGUGCCUUCGGGAACCGUGAGACAGGUGCUGCAUGGCUGUCGUCAGCUCGUGUUGUGAAAUGUUGGGUUAAGUCCCGCAACGAGCGCAACCCUUAUCCUUUGUUGCCAGCGGUCCGGCCGGGAACUCAAAGGAGACUGCCAGUGAUAAACUGGAGGAAGGUGGGGAUGACGUCAAGUCAUCAUGGCCCUUACGACCAGGGCUACACACGUGCUACAAUGGCGCAUACAAAGAGAAGCGACCUCGCGAGAGCAAGCGGACCUCAUAAAGUGCGUCGUAGUCCGGAUUGGAGUCUGCAACUCGACUCCAUGAAGUCGGAAUCGCUAGUAAUCGUGGAUCAGAAUGCCACGGUGAAUACGUUCCCGGGCCUUGUACACACCGCCCGUCACACCAUGGGAGUGGGUUGCAAAAGAAGUAGGUAGCUUAACCUUCGGGAGGGCGCUUACCACUUUGUGAUUCAUGACUGGGGUG